AUCAAGACCUAAAUAUCUCACUAUCCACAAACAUGUAUUUUUGUAUUUUUUAAUGUUGUGUAAAGUCACAUCAAGACAAAUACAGAGCGAUUUGCAAAUAUGCCUAACUUACUCUGUAAAAACGUAUUUUAAUUCCACAUAAAAUGAUAGAGCUUUUACAGAUGUUAAUACUUUCACCCAAAAAAAUACAUGUGAAGUGAUAUAUACGCAUUUGUGGAUCCAUUUUUACAUGUGAAACAGGUUUUGCACAUUUGUAGAUUGCUUGCUGUCAGAUUGUGGGCCACGUGGCAUUUGUUACUUCCCUCCUGUAUAUUUGUGGAACUUUGUCCACUUCGUUCCGCAGCAGAUCUGUAAAAAAAGAAUCUGUAAAUUGAGGUGCAGUUACUAGCUAGCUUCCCUCACAUGAGCUGACAGAACUACAGUCUGGAAGCUACAGAAAGAAGGCUGAACAUGAGUCAUCAUACAACAGGACAAAACAUGCUAGCUUCUAGCAGGAGGUGAAAGACAAUGUGGAGCAUCUUUAUUUAACCCAACGGUCAUGAUUCAGCAUCGGGUUCAUCAUUGCCAUCUCCAGCAGGACUUAAACUCCGGCCCUUCCUCCACUCUUUCAGCCUGUUUGGUACCAAGCGCUCUUGGCCACCUUUUAGUAUCGUGAAUACUACUGCUGCUCUCCGCCUGCCAUGCUCACUGCUCAGCUCUGCCAUGCGCCAUUUACCCUCCACCUUCACCAGCUGGGACCCUUACUCACCCUCUCAUCAUACAUUCCAAAGCCUUUUGCAAUAAAGUCCUUAUUUGGUCAUCUAGCCCACGAGUUUGUGUUCUGUAUUUGUGUUCGCUCAUUUAACAUAACUUUGAUGUAAAAUGAUUAAAACAUUCUUAAAACUAACGCACUUUUUGUUCACUCUCUGGUAGUAUACAUAUACAAAUAAUACUCUGAAUGAAUGAAAAAAUUAAAUUGCAACUCAUAUACCUACUGCAUAUUGAAUUACUUUUUGUAAGUGCAAAUAAAUACUAAUUGAUUAAAAUUCACUUUGAGUUCAUUCAAACAGACAAUUCUCAAAAGUAGGCUUGUAUUUAUUUAAAUAUAAAUGUAAAACAAGUACAUUGUGUACACUUGUACAGAAAAGUUCAGAUGGAGAUGAAAAGAAGAGUCCAGCAUCGUCCAGCAGCAGUAGAAUGCAGUGUUGAUGGUGGCUUGGAGUCCAGUGAUGGUAUCAGGACAGGAGAGAUGAGGCCAAGGUGCUGCUGAGAAGACAGAGAGAAAGAAAGAGAUGAGAGGGUCAGCGAUAUCUCAGAGAAAAUCCACAAGUCGCAUCAUUCCCAUAAUCAUGUAGCAGAAACAUACCAGAGACAUCAUGGCUUACAAAGCAUUUAACUUUUAAAUUACUUCCACUUUUUUUACCAUUUAAACUGAGAUUACACAUUAAUGCAAUAAACAUUUUAGUGGAGCUGCUCUAACAGACUGACAGCUGUCUUGU